AACGAACGCUGGCGGCGUGCCUAACACAUGCAAGUCGAACGGGAAAACCCGCGAGGGUGAGUACAGUGGCGCACGGGUGCGUAACACGUGGGUAAUCUGCCCAGAAGCCCGGAAUAACCCCCCGAAAGGGGUGCUAAUGCCGGAUGAGACCACGGGGACUUCGGUUCCUGGGGGAAAAGGUGGCCUCUGUAUACAAGCUAUCACUUCUGGAUGAGCCCGCGGCCCAUCAGCUAGUUGGCGGGGUAAUGGCCCACCAAGGCUACGACGGGUAGCUGGUCUGAGAGGACGAUCAGCCACACUGGAACUGAGACACGGUCCAGACUCCUACGGGAGGCAGCAGUGGGGAAUCUUGCGCAAUGGGCGAAAGCCUGACGCAGCAACGCCGCGUGUGUGAUGAAGGUCUUCGGAUCGUAAAGCACUGUCGGGAGGGACGAAUAAGGGCCGGGUGAACAAUCCGGUUCGACGACGGUACCUUCAGAGGAAGCACCGGCUAACUCUGUGCCAGCAGCCGCGGUAA
rnacentral:rRNA from 1 species